CACGUAUAAUAUCCUGCGCAUCAAAUAUAGUACCGCGUAUUUCCACCUCUAACUUAAUUUUAGGCGAAUUAUGAGCUUCAGUUUUCUUUACAAUUUAGUAACAGAAAACAAUCUUAGAUACAACAUAUGCUAAUUGCUUGUUUUUAAGUUAAAACUUCUCCGUAGUCGCUGUUUACCUGUCCGGGUUUAAGGUCAAAACAUUCCUACACACCGUUAACCGCCAUGUUAUUUUGAAUAUCCAGAAGUAGGAAGUAUUUUCGUAAAAUUGAAAAUCAUGAAGCUUGCGUUGGUGUGUGCAGUUCUACUAUAUUUCACUUUACUUGCAUCUGCACAGAACAUUCAGAUACAAGCCCUACCACAAACGAUCAACUACAGGGAGAAUGAUUUGGUCAUCGUGUGUUCCAUCACUAACCCUUCACAACUCGAUGCAGUGUACUCCAUACAGUUACAGAGGAACUCUAGUACAACAUUUGAAACUGUAGUGUCAGUAGCUAAUGGACUGACACCACCUUUACAAUGGAAGGACACCCAGCUACAAGGCCGAGCUUUAGCCACUGGGAACGUAGACUCUACUAAUACAGCACAGCUGAGAUUAACAAUAGACAAAAACAGUGUGCAGUGUCCUACUGACUUCAAGAUGUACAUGUGUGAAUUGUCUGCCUUUAGUAAUGUUGCGUCAGAGACAGUCAAACAGGAGACAAGUCCAAUCCCUAUAUCUUACAUAGUCAAACCGGCUGUUAUUGAGAUGCCGCGGGUGAGGAUCCUGAAUUCGUUCUCUGAUACUCCAAAUCGACAGUUUCCUGUUGGAACAGCGAUUCAGUUAACCUGUCAAGGAGAGGUUGGAAGUGACGCAAGCAGCACCAUUAGAUGGUGUGCCCAAAGGACCAAUGAAAUGAUGUUCACAGGAUUACCCCAGACCCCAAUCCACUCUGAGGCCUCUCAAUCAGGGUGUAUGUUCACAAGGUCCAGUACCAUCACAUACAACCUAACCAGUGAAGAUACAUUCACAAAGUUCUUGUGCGAGUCUGGAGAUACUGGAAUGUGUGGCACAGGGACGGCCAUACAAUAUGUCAACAUCACCAUCGAAGGAUCUGGAAACACCAACCUUCGUACAGCAGAUGAUACCUCAGACGCUGGUAUCAUUGCCGGAGGUGUGAUCGGAGGGCUGGCGGCUCUCAUACUGAUUAUCCUCCUUGUCUACUUCCUCGUCUUGCGGAGAAAAUCUGAUGGAGAAUCUUACAGAACGAAGGAAGAUGUGCCAGGGUACAAUGGACCAGCUAACCCGGAGGGACCAGUUUACAGUGUUCCCGUCAAAGACAACCCACCACAUGAAAGACAGAGAGAAGAGGACGACCACAGAGUGAAUGGAACCACUCAGGAGCCACGCAGAGAGCUUCACUAUGCUGACCUUGACAUAGCGACCCAGCCUCCGGGGACCAAGGUCAAACCCAAGCCCCGCCCUCGACAUGAACCAAGCAGCACAGAGUACGCAAGUGUAUCGUUCGGCGGCAGCGCUGUCGAAGACGGAGAAGGAGGAGAUAGACUACCAGAACCACGGCUACUCCAACCGGAUGAUGAACGACUACGGGGACGACGGAGAUGUAGCUCCCAGGGGACCGCCGUUCGGAUCGGCAGUGUAAUCCAGGGCCGACCAAUGAGGGUUGGACAAGUUGACGGAAUCAGGGGAGGAUAUGAUUGGCCAGAUCAAUAUAUUCUGAUAACCAAGACUUCAGCUAAUAUCUAUGCAGACACAAAUAGGCUACAGCGUCCUCCUCCUGUUAAUUCUAUCCCUGUGCAGCCAAUGUUACCUUUAUAAUGUCAGAUGUACACAAACUGCUACUCGGUGACUAAUUCCGGAUUGAUCUAUAACCAGGGGUUCUCCUUAUAUGAUUGGACGACUUGUUUCUACUGAUUUAAUAGCGGAACUAUAAUUAUGAUUAGUACCCUGAUUUUUCUGUUAUACAGUGUAUGUUACAAAGCUUUAUGUUGGAGAGAAGAAAUGGCGACAAUGUAAUUGUCAGCUAGAUUGUUUAGAGAAUCACUGUGUGAUACCGGUAGAAAGAUGAUUCUAUGUCUUCUGUUUGUACCCACAGAUCGGGAAAAGGGGUUCAUAUUUCAGGGGAAGGGGGUGGUUAUAUUUGAGAGUCAAAUUGAUAUUUGAAAAUAGUGGUCUAUGAUUGUGCAAUAAUUAUACGUGAUUAGACUGUGUAUAGCAUACAAGACAUUUUCUGUCUUCCCCCUUUGUUGAAGUCAAGGACCAACAGAUAUGGGCAUUUAUGUUUCAAUGAAUAAUGCUGUUCACUAAAUGUAGUGGUAGUGUUGUGUAGACUUCAACGGGAGAAGAGAAUUUGUAGUCGGCUUCAGAUUUUUAGGGUUUCUAAGUCUUGCCUCCACCAUAAUUUGACUCAAAGUCAAACGAAUCUCUGUCAUACUUUAUACAAACACAGAAUUCUUCCAUCUGAUAGCAAAAGAAACAAGCAUGUUUACAACAUUCGAACCAAUGUAUUCCUGGUAAAGGCUUCUUUACAAGCUAGGAAAAAGAAGCAUCUUACUCUUUCAUUUUUAUUUUUGUAAAUUUUGUCAGGAAUGACUGAUACCAUUGUAUGGUGAUUGUCAAUAUUAUAUUCAUUAGUUAGGAUGGUAGUGCAUUGUCUAAUGUUGUGUGUAGAAGAGAUACAUGGCCGUUACCUGUAUCUCCUCACCAGUGAACAAGUGCUAUUAUCUAAUGUUUUCUAUACCUACCUCCACCUGUGAUUGUGAACUCUGACUUAUCUUCUCUUUAUAAGGUUUCGGGGCAAUUUGUGACAAAUGUAGAAUGAUUCAUCUCAUGGUCAGCUUUAGAUAGUUUUUCUAACUUGUGUCUUCAGUAUGUAAGAUGGUGUAUGAACAAGGAACGGGAGAUGUUGACAAAAUCAAGAUUUUUUGAAACUAUUAAUUUUUUUAUUGUUAACGUUAUUUUCUCCUAUAAUUCCAUAGAGACAUUCCAUUUAAUAAUUAUAUUAAUCCAUCCAAGAUCAUCACAUAUCUAGCACACCACAUUGUGCUCCUAAAAAUGUUUUUUUCUUGUGUAAUGUAAACAUAUGAUGAUUGUUUUUUUGAUAUUUUUUGUAAAUCCAUAUAUGUAUAUUUUUUUGUAAUUAUUUCUUGUUUUUUACAAAUCAUCAGAUGAUUUUUUUAUAUAUAUACAAAUGUUGUUUGAUUGUGUCUGAACAUGGGUGAUUUUAUUUUCUAUGUUUUAGUCAAGAACGACAUAUCAUAUGUGCCAUGCUCACUAAACCUUUGACAGUUACUUCCCUUGAAUUUUAGCAGUCGUUGGUCGUAACAGUAGGCUGUUUAAUAUCAUUAGUCUUAACUUAUAAAUGUUAAUUAUUGUAUAUAGAUAAAUUUUAUAAAGUGAAAAUGAUUUCACUGCUAAUCACGUUAAAAAAUUUUAACUGAAUUUUUAUGACCGUAUAGGUAAUUUUUUUUUAUUAAAGUCUUCAGUUUAAAUAGAAUUGAAUUUUACUAAAAUAACAAACAUUUAGUUGGAGAUUUUUUUUAACUUUUUAUUUAACAUUAAUUACUAGUAAAUAAAAUGGUCUUAUUCAUCAUUAAGUUAAAUUUAUUUUAGCAUUUUUGACUUAUUUUGUUAUAAUUGACAGUGAUAAUAUAUAUUUUACAUGGCAGUUCUCCCAAUCAAAGUCAAUUAUUCUCGAUUUAUUGCACGUAGAUUUUGUAUCUAUUGGUUUGAAUGGUAUUAUCCUAUUUACAUAUGUAAAGCACUUGAAAUCAAGUAUACAUAGUAAUUCCUGUAUCUACUAAUAAAGCUUACAAAAC
rnacentral:misc_RNA from 1 species